UGUGCGUUACGUGAAACGCUGACCAAAGUCCAGUCAGCGUGAUACUUGAGAAUGCAGGAUGCGUGCACAUGCGCAUUUGUAGGUAUGUCACAUACUAGGUGCUAUCCGUCUUAGAAGCGGCCGAAGGCGAACAGCGCCAGGAAGGCCAGCGCCGAGGACAGGAGCGUCAGCACGGACGGCGAGGCCAUGCCAGCAGCGCCGCCGCCGCCGCUGCCGCCGCCGCCACUGCCGCCAGUGGUCAGCGUCACGCUGGCCGGGAGGAGGACGAAAUCAAUGGUGUGCACAACCGCAUUGCCAGCAAUGACGUCGGGCGUGACAACCUGCAGCACGUCAGGAGUGGCCAGGCAUCAGCAUAUAUGAUGAGCACGAUCACAUAAAACAUGUUCUCCAUCACAUAAAACAUGUUCUCCUGUCAAGAGGAAUGACGGGGUGCCGCUAGCCCUUGCAGAAUCGCGCCCACCUUUGCGGUGCUCUUGGCGGCGACGAAGAAGACCCCAGUUCCGUUGAUGCGCACAGUCAGGACCCUGGUCGGUUGCAGCGAGAGCAGCCGGGCGUACGUGGGGUUAAGUAGGCCCGUGCCGAGGAUGGGAGAGUCUAGACGGCCACGAACAAAAGGUCAGCAAGUCCCUUGCGGUGCACGUGUGACGGUAAUGUUCACGCCAUGGCGCACGCGACGCAGUUAUGGCACUGACCCGUCGAGGGUGGUGAUGUUCUGGUUGUUGACGAGCUGGGACGAGCGAACGGCGCCGGGGGUGAUGAUGUGCGCCUGCGUCCAUCCCACAGCGUGCAUACGGCACAGGCAGGCAUGUUGCAGACAGGUUGGAUGGAGGCUGUGGCUAAAGCAGAACUUGGACUCCCACAGCUACGAAAUCGCUUAGUAACACGCAGCUCACGCACUGCUGCUCACGUUGAGGAUGCGGCGCAGGUUGUCCUUGUCCGCCAGCAGCUGGGUGGCGUUCACCCCGAGCGCGGUCAGCGCGGCGGUGAAGGCGGCGUUCUGUGUGUGCAUGUGAAUGAAAGGAAAACGUUAGUCACAAACUCGAUAGUGCCAGUUGUCCUUACCGGCAUGAGUAACGCUACGUGACAGUCGGACAGGGGCUGGGCGGGGUUGACACGGGACAGCUACAGGCGGCUCAAACCGAGCUCACAGUCACUCGGUGCAUGUAAAUUGUGCCGGUCCGCAGGUUAACGUCGCUGUGAGCAACCAAGCCUGCUCACCGUGGGCGCCAGGACGGUGCCGUUGAAGUCAGGGUCCGUAAGGGUGGUCAGGAACGAGGCGUCUGAGGCGGUGACGGCGGCCAGCAGGGUGCUGAGGUUGGCGGCCUGGGCAGCGCCGGCGACGGUGACGUAGGGGGUGGGCAGGGUGAGGUCCGCGGGGAGCAGCACGCGGUCGAUCACGUGCACCACGGCGCGGCCGUUGCCAAUGGACACGUCCGCAGCCACCACCUGCGGGCAGCGGAGGAGGAAGCGUACCGGGCGGGAGCGUUGAACGGGCCUUGGGUGUGACCCUCUGAGACCGACCCCGACCCACAGUUUAGACCCCCUCAUCUGUACAAACGAGGCUGGAGAGCUGCAUGGAGUACCGCACUCAAGAAAUGGAUGCAAGCAGUCACGCACCUUGGCCGAGCUCUUCGCGGCGUUGAAACGAACAAUGCCGUUGCCAAUGGAGACGGUCAGGAGAGCCCUGUGAGCAUCAAAGGACACAGCAGGAAGUGGUGGAUGAACUCGGUGAGCUCUAGCGCUGUGGCCGCGGCAUGAUGGAUGGCCCUGGCGCGGCACUGCAGCCUCGCGGUGUUGCGACGCAAACACACACACACACACACACACACACACACACACACACACGCGCACACAAACACACAUACAGGCACACACACACACGCACACAAACACACAUACAUGCACAGAUAUGAUGUCAAACACGCACACGUACCCGCCAGUGGUGUUGACGGUCUGGUUGUUGGACAGCUGGUUGGAGAAGACGGCGGCGUUGGGGAUGAUGUGGGCCUGUGGGCGUGCGGCGCAGAAAGUAGUGGAGCAGCUUGGUUACUUGGGGCGUAGACUACGUAAAACCGCCAUGCGCACUGGUGAUGCACAGCGCUCUGUUAAACAACUCGGCCUGCAACGUCGCGUCCCCACCCCAACUGAUCAGGCUCAGCCGGAGGCACUGGGCCGCUAACGCACGCACUGCUGCUCACGUUCAGGAUGCGGCGCAGGUUGUCCUUGUCCGCCAGCAGCUGGGCUGCGGUGACGUUGAGCGAGGCCAGCGUUGCGGCGAAGGCGGCGUUCUGCAUGGAGUGGGAAGAAGGCGCGGUGGUUCAGCGGAUCCGCGUAACGCGGGUGCUGGGCUGGAUGGACCAACCUAGGAUCACGGCAUCCGUUACAAUGCCCAGCAGGGCGCAGGUACCCAGCAGUCUGCCUGGACGGCCAGCUAUGGAGCCACGCCUUCACAUGUCGGUGCUUACCGAGGGCGCCAGGAUGGUGCCGCGGAAGGUGGGGUCGGUCACGGCGGCCAGGAACGCGGGGUCAGAGGCGGCGACAGCGGCCACGAGGGUGGUGAGUCCGGCCCGCUCGGCGGCGUUCGCCACGGUGGUGUAGAACGGCAGCAGCACGGCGUUCACCAGGUGCACAAAGGUCCUGCGCACAGUGAGAGAGGAAAGGCCAGUUGCUUCAUGCACAGCGCUGUGAGCAGCGGCCGACAGAUGGGGCACCGGCCCUAGUGCCUGUAAGCUGCCCGCACCCACCUGGGGCCACCCGUGGUGAGGUCCAGGCCGACGGGGAUGUUGGCGGCCAGCACGGUGGCGGCGGUGGCGCCCACCGGGGUCACGACCACGUUGUUGCCAUCCCUUGCGACGGUGAGGUUGGCCCUCGAGCUGGGGAAGGGCAGUGCCGUGUACGGAAAGCAAUGUUACAUCGCCCGGAUACGAAGGAGAUCUUGCUAGGGGCUCGCAUGGAAUGCACGACAACCCGCGUUCACGAUGGGCACAUGCCACACGGGCAUUUAUUUCUCACGGACGCACUUGAGGGUGGUGAGGGUGAUGGGGCUGGCGGUGACCUCCGAGCCGUUCAGCACACGCGAGGUGGCCACGUGGUAGGUGAGCACGUCGGUGAUGCUCGCGUUCACAGACGUCAGAUAGGCGCUGGAGGCGUUGAAGGCAUCCUGUGGUGGGCAGGAGCGGGGCGGUGUAGUAGGUACGGCAUGGUGAGGGUCGAACGAAGUAAAGCACUUGCACGCGAUACUUGUGGCUACGCGCCGGCCACGUACAGCGACAGGUCAGGCGCGCAUCACAACGGCUGUGCAGGCGUUCACUCACGUUGACGGGGGCGAACACGGUGACGUUGAGGUUGGGGUUGGACAGGGCCGGAGCCAGGCCGUUGCUGGCCACAGCGCUCAGCAGCGAGCUGAGCUGGGGGGUACGCGUGGCGGCCUGUGGAGCGCACGUGCAGUGCAGCAGAUGUACGGAAGGGGGCGUCAGCAUGCCAGGGGUUGGGCGGCUUGCAAUUGAGGGCCCGAGGAGGCAAGAGAGCAGCGUCCUCGUGUAAACCCGGAGGUGCGAGAGUCACUCACGGAAGCAACACUGAGGAAGAAGGGGAGGAGAACACUGUCGAUGACGUGCACAACAGCGCCGCCCGCGGUGAUGUCAGUGCGGAUGACGUUGGCGUCGCUGCCGAGGGCGCGGACCACAACGCUGCCGUUGGCGGCCUUGGACACGGUCAGGUUGAGGCCGGUGUUUAGGGUGGCAUAGGGCGUGUCGCCGGUGGGGAUGUCAGCGGCCAGGAGCGGCGUGGUGAUGGCGUGGUAGGUGAAGACGGGGGCGACCUUGGGCCCCAGGGUCAGCAGGGCGUUGGGGGUGGUGUUCAAGGCCGCGGUCAUCGCGAGCAGCGCCUGCAUGGGGGAGGGCGGGCGCGUGCACAGCAGCACACCGUCAACACAUGAGGCCGGCGGGGAAGGACGUAUACGCAGCAGGGAUAGCCCGGCCAGGGGCUGCUGCUGCCACAAUCCCGGGGGAACCAUCCUCAGCGUGGCACAUUUAUCCCGUGCUUUGUGUCAAGACCAAAUCAAUGCACUGCAACCCAGCAGCGUCACAUGCGGUCGUGCGCACGCACGCCUGGAUCUCGCGGUGGUUGCCCACGCACCUUGGGUGUGCAUGCGCACACACGAGCCGUGCAACAGCAUCGCACGAGCCCAUGACCAAUCAGAAAACCCACUUAGCCAAGCGCUAUAUUAUGCCCCCAGCAGUUUGGAGAGGCUUGGCCGAUGCGGCACACUCACAUCGUCGGAGGGUGCGAAGAGGGUGAUGUUGGGGCCGGUGGUGCUGUUGAGGGUUGUAGCCAAAUCAGCGACCUGCAGGCCGGCGGCCAGCAGCGUCAGGUUGGCGCUCUGGAUGGCCUGCAGGAUGGUCUGGGCGCUUGAGCCAGCCACCGCGAGCAGGAGGCCUGCGGGGAACAAGCAGAGAACAAGCAGGCGGGGCGGGCGGGACGGGGGCGUCGGCCUUGCUCAACGCUUGGUGUGCACACGUCGCCUUUUGCCCAGCCAACGGCCGCUACUUUGACGCUGUGCAAAUUGCGCAGGACAGGGCAAACAACAGCGUCAUGACUCGUACUAAAAGCUGGAUAAUUCCCCAGCACUGCCCUGCUAACCCAAGCUUCGGACCGCGCAGAAUCGCAAACCAUGCAACCAUGCAAGCGCACAAGGGACGGAGGCCACAAGGACAGUCGAUGCGCACUCAAUUGCGACUCCAAGAAGGGCUACAACUCACAUGAUGCCACGAGAAUCGUAGAAGCGCCGGGGCGAGUCCAGCGCGCCAUCUUCUUUGACGGUUCUUCGGUUGGGGUGGAGACAAACGCACUGACCUAAAUGUAUAUAUGAACAAAGCCUUUGGCAACCUAGUGCAGUAAUAUAUUCUUGCAUGGACAAUUGCGUGGCUAUGGGCGGUUGUCGGGCAGGCGGGCAGUCGUGGAUGACGCCAGUGUGCCGUCGUUCUCACUCACGCUCAGUUGCUGGGCAGCUGCAAUAAGUGAAGUCGUUCUUACGUUUAUUACAUUCUUGCGUGACAUUGCUAGGUGCGAGCGAUGUGCGAGGUUUUGGCCUUGCUCUACUUAAUGCUUAUGACUGCGAACCUCCGUAGCCUGAAGACAGCCCGCAGAUAAGUUGAGCCAUGCUGAAUGCAACACGCCCUGCGCAAGAUAGGGUGUGACUAUUUUUGUCAAGCUGCUACCGUCUGACAGUUACACCACGGCGUGAAUUGGGGCGCAGCACCCGCAAAGCCGUCGCUGCCUCUUACAGUCCUCCCUGGUCCUCUCGCCUGCCAGCGGGCUGAUUCUGUCCCCUUGCGCGCUGCCCAACUCUGCAUGCAUGCGUAUCUGCUCGCAUCAUGGAGUCACUUUCACAUAGGCGCCAAGCAUCUGCAUAACGGCAUUAGCAAGCGGAUCCCCCCCCCCCCCUUCUGCUGGGUUCUGGGAAUCAGCUGCACCCUACGGGAUUUUACCAACCUGCCUUACCAGUUACCACUGUCCCAUCGCACACAACCCCCCUUCGUGUCUGUGUAACUCGCUCAAGACGCCGCUUUUUACAGACACCUCGCCAGCGGUCUGUUUCUGUCCUCCGGCACGCUGAUGCCCAACUCAGCAUGCAUGCGUAUCUUCUCGCAUCAGAAGGUGACAAGAAAAGGUGGCUCUCCCUUGCAAGGGAAAAGUGGGCUGUGCCGCCACGCCACGUCCUCCGUCUGAGGCCGAAGGUUCCGAUACUAGCCUCAUCUCCCGGACAUAGCCGGGGUCGGUUUGUACAGGCACCGCCCGCCAUAUGUGCCCAGUCGCGCCCAGCUAUCAAGCACUAGUGCAGCAGGCAGCAGGCCAACCAGACAGCAAGGAAAACACCCCUGCCGCUGCAGCCGACUGCCCGCUACGCCAUCCUCGUCAGCACAGGUCGCUAACCAGACAACACCGGCAGGUCUCAACCUGCGCGCCGGCGCCGCUUUGAAGGCGGCACCGCGCUGUCCUCCUCCCCGUGGCCUUGCCUGCCCCCUCUGCUCCGAACAUGCGCGCCGCCACUGCCGCUGGGCCCAGGGCCGCCCGUGCCGCCGCCACCACCGGGCCCAACGCCGUGGCCGCUGCUGUUGCCGCCGGUUGCACCAGUUUGGCACUUUUUGUCAACGCAGGCAGGCAGGCAGGCAGGCAGGCAGGCAGGCACGGACAGGGGCAAUCCUGGGGGGCUUCGCCCCCCCUGGAUCGCUUCGCUCAGGGGGCUCAGCCCAAAAAGGCCGCGGUGUCUUUAGAUAAUUCCGUGAACGGCCGUUGCACUAAUCAGAAGCGGGGCAAGUAACACUGUACUCGAUGCCCCUUGCUGUCCCAUGCACGCAGCAGGCAGUCCAUGCGUAGUCAUGCUACGCAUACAGCCCGCCCUCUGUGCUGAUAAUGCUAAAAGUAAAAUGUCUAUGCACCAUUGCACAUCAUGUACACCCGUCCGCUAUGAUCACUGCUUCGUCCGGUCCUCAGUCGCGGGAUGAAUGCCAUUGGACACCAGUAUUGCUAUCCCCUUGCAUGUUUCAAGCGCAUGCGUAUGUCCAAGCCGCCGGGACCCUGCUGAUAUACCAACCGCCGCUCGUAUGCUAGAUGCGUGCUUGUAUGUAAGUGUUACCAGCUAACUAUAUGUACACUAGGUGCUAUCCGUCUUAGAAGCGGCCGAAGGCGAACAGCGCCAGGAAGGCCAGCGCCGAGGACAGCAGCGUCAGCACGGACGGCGAGGCCAUGCCAGCAGCGCCGCCGCCGCCG
rnacentral:lncRNA from 1 species